AUCUUCAUAUGAUGUACUUGCCUAUGCUGGCAUAUUUUGAAAAUACAUGCCAAGAACUUCAAGAUUAAUGGGAGAAUACCUCAAUGGAGCCCAAAUUUCCAAGACAGCUCACAGGUCCCCAACCCCGGCCUGUGGACCUGCAGCGAGCCACGGCAUGCCAGAAACUGGCCCUGCAAACAAGUGAAGCCCCAUCUGUGGGAUGCAGACAGCACACGAAACCACGCCCCUUCUGGUCCACAGAAAAAACUCUCUCCGCAGAUCUGGCCCCUGGUGCCCAAAAGGUUGGGAGCCGCUAGUCUGGUUGAAUGAAAGUUAACGCAUAAAAGCAAUUUUGUUUUAAAAAAAUAGACUCGUUUUAAAAGUUCUCCAUUAAAAUACUGUAUAAAAUA